AGGGGGCACUUCUAUUUCUUCUAACAAUUAUUAAAACAAUUAUAUAACACCUGGCGUCAAAGAAUGGCGAUGGCGACUGUGAAGAGAGGCGAAAGCGGCGACAAGGGAAUGACCAAGAAUCUUUUCGGAUUUGGUACUCUUAGGAAGAACGAGACUGCCCAGGUAUUUCCUCCUUCCCAAUGUGGUGUUUUAGCAUCGUCACCCCGUCGUCAGGUAAUCCACGAUCUCAAGAAGGGUUUUGUUAUUUCAAAGUUUACAAAGGACGUUUUGCCUGCUUCUCCUGUUAAUGAUUCAGAGUUAUCAAUGCAUCAGAAGCAACCUCCGGUCUUUCCUAGACCUUUUAAUUCUCUCUUUGAUAACUAUAAUUGGUCUGAAAAAGCUCCAGUUUUCUCCUCUUUCAGCUCUUUUCACAAAAAGCUAGGUUUUCCUGCACCGGCCUCAGAUCAGGGUUGGACCACUGUUGUUCGUAAACGAACAAGAAAAUCAAUGGAUAAACUGCUUCGACAUCCUUUUCCGAGUGAUUAUAUGGAGCCCAAGCAACCUCAUCGUUGUUUUAAUUGUGGAGAUGAACGCCAUUCUACAAAAUUUUGUAAAAAGGGAGCUUUUAUCUGUUUCAAGUGCCAUGAAGUAGGUCACAUUGCUAAACAUUGCAGAUCCCAUCUCCGUCCUCAGGACAAAAAGAUUGAUCUAUCAGAUUCUGAUACUCUAUGCUCCAAUGCUAAGGUGUUAGCUGCUUUUGCUAUUCUUACAAUUACAGAAGGCUCACCAUCUUUAGAGCUGAUCAAAAUCAAAUUGGCAUGGUUUUUCAAUUGGCAAAAGUGGUCUGGUAAGAUUCUUCCGUUAAAAGACAAUCAGUUUCUGGUAGAAUUCCCAUCAGUUUUUCAAUUGUCAGAAGCAACAGAUGAAAAAACUAUAAAUUUUGAAAGUUUUAAGGGUUGGAUGGCACCAUGGAAUGAAAGCAUAGGUAUGACAAUUAUUGAUUCAGCAUUUUAUCAAUGGAUUAAGAUCAAGAAUCUUCCUCUGCAUUUCUGGUCAAUAGACAUUUUGAAAAAAAUUGUUGGGACUUUUGGAGAAAUGGUCAGAGCAUGUAAGAACAUCAAAGACAAGCUAAAUGGACAGGACGUCCGCAUCCUGGUCAAAGUUAAAGCAGCAGUCUGUAUUCCUCGUACAAUAGUAUGUUCUUAUACUUCUAAGGUGGAUUCAUAUACAAGAGAGGUUUUUUUAGAUAUUAUUCCAAUUGGAGUGGGUCAAUUGGGAUCGUAAGUCAUUGGCAUGCACUUAUCAGCUAUGGAGGCUCAGGGUGAUGAAAUCUUAGAAUCUCAAUGGCUAGAUCAGGUGAAUGCUCCAGAAGUGAAUAGUCCGGUGGCGAAUGUUUUACCAGAGGUUAUGGAUAAAGUUCCUCCUUCAUCUUUGAACAAAGGAAAGGGUAUUUUGGUGAAUGAACCUAUUUUGAAUUUGGAGAAUUUUAAGGACAGUCAUAAUGGUAAGAUGGUUAAUAAGGAAGAUUAUCAAAAAGGUAACAAAAAUUUUCAAUUACCUAUUCUAUCGGAACAGCUACAUAUUCCAGAGGCGCAAGUUCAGGAAAAUACUGAUAUCAGUAAUGAUUCUAUCCCUGAUACUCUCCGUGAUUUCCCCUUGGAUUUAGUCAAACAAAAAUGGAAUGGACAAUCUUUCUUUAUUGAACGAUCAACUUGGGAAGCUUUUAUUGGCGGGAAGAUAGAUUCUCCAAAUUCAAACUCAGCUUCAGAUUCAUUCCCGCCAAAUUCUAAUCAAACACCAGCAGUCCAAUCAUCUACCUCUGUUCCACCUGGGUUUACUAAGCAAGCAAGAUCUUCUUCUUCAACUCGUUCAGUUCAGAAGGUUGUCCUCAGCAAUAAACAUAGGAGCUUUCUGAAGCAAGCUUCUACCUCAAAAAAGAUGAUUCGCUCUGCUAAAAAAGGAUGAAGCUCUACUGCAAAGCGUUUGGCAGAACAAUUGGAGUCCUUCCCACUAAGCAGGGCCAGUGUUUGAAUUUUGAUCGGAUCUGUAUCAGAUCAUUUUGGUUUUUUACAUCACUUUUGUAAUUAGAAUACUAUAAGGUUUUAUGAUGUUCAUAGGAAUGUUUUGUUAGUUUAUAGAAAUUAUGUUCAACUUAAUAUACGUAUGGCUGGCUUUUGUUCUUUCUUAUAUCUGUGUCAACGGUGAGUGACGGCAAGGCUCACUCCUCAUCUUCACGGAUCUUUGAAAGAAGAAAGUUAUACGUCCCUAUUAAGUUGAAUUAUACUUUCUAUCUACUAACAUCAGGAUACUUUCCGUGUCCACCUUUU